rnacentral:rRNA from 1 species
GACGAACGCUGGCGGCAUGCCUAACACAUGCAAGUCGAACGAUGCCUUCCGGCAUAGUGGCGCACGUCUGCGUAACGCGUGGGAAUCUGCCUUUCGGUUCGGUAUAACUCACGGUAACUUGAGCUAAUACCGGUUAACGUCACACGACCAAAGAUUUCUUGCCGAAAGGUGAGCCCGCGUAAGAUUAGCUGGUUGGUGAGGUAAAGGCUCACCAAGGCGACGAUCCUUAGCUGGUCUGAGAGGAGGCUCCGCCACACUGGGGCUGAGACACGGCCCAGACUGCGAGGCGAGGCAGCAGUGGGGAAUAUAGGGGGAUGGGCGAAAGCCUGGUCCAGCCAUGCCGGGUGAGAGAUGAAGGGGUUAGGGUUGUACAGCUCCUUUACCCGGGAAGAUAAUGACGGUAACGGGUGAAUAAGCCCCGGCUAACUACGUG